AUGAACGCUGGCGGCGUGGAUAAGGCAUGCAAGUCGAAUGGGUUUAGACCCAUGGCGAACGAGGUAGUGACACGUAGGAACGCACCCCAAAGUCGGGCAUAGCCAGUCGAAAGAUUGGACAAUUCUCGAUAUCUCUUCGGAGGAAAGAUUUAUCGCUUUGGGAACGGCCUGCGGAGUAUCAGCUUGUUGGUAGUGUAAUGGACUACCAAGGCUACGACGCUUAGGGGAGGUGAGAGCCUGACCCCCACCGAUGGUACUGCGACACGGACCAUACACCUACGGGUGGCUGCGGUCGAGAAUCUUCCACAAUGGACGAAAGUCUGAUGGAGCGACGCCGCGUGAUUGAUGAAGUCCUUCGGGAUGUAAAGAUCUUUUAUGAGGGAGAAAGUUAUUGAUAGUACCUCAUGAAUAAGGGGUUGCUAAACUCGU
rnacentral:rRNA from 1 species